AAAGNGUUGCUUAUUGUUUCGAAUGCCCUUG
rnacentral:piRNA from 1 species